UACGAAGGGUGCAAGCGUUACUCGGAAUUACUGGGCGUAAAGGGUGCGUAGGUGGUUUUUUAAGUCUGCUGUGAAAUCCCCGGGCUCAACCUGGGAAUGGCAGUGGAUACUGGCAAGCUAGAGUGCGGUAGAGGGUAGUGGAAUUCCCGGUGUAGCAGUGAAAUGCGUAGAGAUCGGGAGGAACACCAGUGGCGAAGGCGGCUACCUGGACCAGCACUGACACUGAAGCACGAAAGCGUGGGGAGCAAACAGG
rnacentral:rRNA from 1 species